AUGUCCAUCAUUUUUCCUAGGUGUCUUUGUAAACGCAAAAUUGGAUAGAAAACAUAUGCUGAUGUUCCAACUACUAAUGUAAAGAGGGCUAAACGUUUGGCUGAUUCUCUUGCAUCUCUACAGCUAAUAUUUAAAAUAUUUCAAAGAAACGUGAUUUGGGAUCUGCUGACGCUCCCCUGGCUGGGCCCUGUGACUGGGAAUCGCUUCUCAAUGGCACUCAGUUCUGAAUCAUCCUCGGAAAGUGGCUUUUCAGGAAAUGGAUCAGAGGGAAAUGAUGACAGUGACAGAGUUACCAAUGCUCUUCCAUCUUCUGUGAGUGAUCUCACAAAAAGUUUGGAGAACGUGGAAAUGUGAGUAUCAUUGUAAUAUGCAAAUU